ACUUCCUCUCCCGAGUCCCGACCUCUCGUAUCUCUCGCUCGCCUCCCUCGUCCGCGGUCCGCCGCCGCUCCAGAUCCAGCCGUGGGAGCGGGGACGGGGCAGGGCUUGAGCACGCUCUCUGCAGCUUCAGGCUCUGCUCGUCGGGGUGGAAGGAGAACUCGAGUGCUCCCAGGCUCUCAACCUCCACGCUCUGAACCGCUGGUACCCGAGGUACGGCCACGCUGAUUUUGCCGAUUCCUUUCUUUCCGUUUGCAGCCUUGGCAUCGUCCUCCUGCCUCGCCGAUGCCUCUUGCGACGACGGGCGAUCGCUGACUGCCUUUCGUGCUGCCCCGGCUUGGCGUCUGAAGAUGACAUGUCCUUGGGCUUGGGCUUGAGCUGGGCGCAGAACGAGCCCGUCGUCGGAAGGGACGAUGUGGACAACCUCGUCCCUGGCUCCAUGUUGAGGCCAUAGAGCUUGAACCCCGAGGCGGAGCCCUUCUGCCAGAGCGCGGCCCCGCGGUUGAACUGCUCGACGAAUGCGCCGAAUUGCUCCCUCCCGGAAUUGGAGCGGACGACGGAGUGAGAGAACUUCUUGUUCCUGUUGUAUGGUUUAUGAUGUGCGUGAGUGAUAAAAUCUAUGUAUUUGAUUCUUCUGAGUGUCUCUGUGUUAAUAACAAGUUGUCUUGUUCCUGUUGUUUUA
rnacentral:lncRNA from 1 species